UGGGGAAUAUUGCACAAUGGGCGAAAGCCUGAUGCAGCAACGCCGCGUGAGUGAUGAAGGCCUUCGGGUUGUAAAGCUCUGUCUUUUGGGACGAUAAUGACGGUACCAAAGGAGGAAGCCACGGCUAACUACGUGCCAGCAGCCGCGGUAAACGUAGGUGGCAAGCGUUGUCCGGAUUUACUGGGCGUAAAGGAUGCGUAGGCGGAUUUUUAAGUGAGAUGUGAAAUACCCGGGCUUAACUUGGGUGCUGCAUUUCAAACUGGGAAUCUAGAGUGCGGGAGAGGAGAAUGGAAUUCCUAGUGUAGCGGUGAAAUGCGUAGAGAUUAGGAAGAACACCAGUGGCGAAGGCGAUUCUCUGGACCGUAACUGACGCUGAGGCAUGAAAGCGUGGGUAGCAAACAGGAUUAGAUACCCUGGUAGUCCACGCCGUAAACGAUGAGUACUAGGUGUAGGAGGUAUCGACCCCUUCUGUGCCGCAGUUAACACAAUAAGUACUCCGCCUGGGAAGUACGAUCGCAAGAUUAAAA
rnacentral:rRNA from 1 species